CUCGGUCAGGUAGAGGAAGUAUAAGUCGUAACAAGGUAUCCGUAGGUGAACGUGCGGAAGGAUCUUUAUCGAAAUUGUUGGUGAGGGUUGUAGCUGGCCUUUCGAGGCAUGUGCACGCUCGAGCCCUUAAUCCACUUUACACCUGUGCACUUAAUGUAGGUCGCCCUUAAAAAAGGUGACCUAUGUCUUAUCAUCAACCCAUCGUAUGUCUCAUAGAAUGUAAUCGAUAUCCUCGCCCUGAAAAAGCGUUGAUAAACUUAUACAACUUUCAACAACGGAUCUCUUGGCUCUCGCAUCGAUGAAGAACGCAGCGAAAUGCGACAAGUAAUGUGAAUUGCAGAUUUUCAGUGAAUCAUCGAAUCUUUGAACGCACCUUGCGCUCCUUGGUAUUCCGAGGAGCAUGCCUGUUUGAGUGUCAUUAAAUUCUCAACUCCAAGGGUUUCACGACCUUUCGGAGAUUGGACUUGGAGGUGCUGGCCGCAUAUUGGUCGGCUCCUCUCAAAUGCAUCAGCGGAAUUCAACCUUUGGCUUCCGGAUGUCAGUGUGAUAAUCAUGUUGCGCUGUCGUUUGAUCCCUCAGAGUCCGCUUAUAAUGGUCUUCGGACAAAAUCAUCAUCAAAUUUGACCUCAAAUCAGGUAGGACUACCCGCUGAACUUAAGCAUAUCAAUAAGCGGAGAA
rnacentral:rRNA from 1 species